UCCUGGAACACACAGACACUCAGCGUAUGAAAUGGCUGGACCUGGAACAUCUGCUGAUGUCUCUCCGGGUCCUAGAGAAAGACCCAAGUCCCACUGUCCAGCUGGUGGCAACUGAGCUCAUAAGUGACAUCUGUCCUGGCCGAGCGCUUGGCGAAUGAAGCAGAACGGAGACAAACAGAACAAGGCGCUCCAGUGGAACUCCUCUCACCACCCUUUACCAGUUGCGAUGGGUUUCAGCUGCAGAGGACUGCCCCAAGAGGAGAGUUGACCAAAACAAGGUAGGUUCUC